GCAGCGCAAUGGAGAGCGCGUUGAACUUCUAGUCCAAAGGUCGGGGUUUCGAAUCCCUCCGGAAAUG